rnacentral:tRNA from 3 species
UCCGAUAUGGUGUAGUGGCUAACAUUAUCGCCUCUCAAUUCAUGAAGCGCGAUAGCCCGGGGUUCGAUUCCCCGUGUCGGAA